AACUCCCAGGGUUUCUCUGAAGACUAAAGCUCUGGGAUAAUUUAUUAUAAAAGAAGAGAAGAGUGACUCAUAAUUUUAAGCUUUUCAUUCUGGAAGUUUAAAGUACAAGAUCAGAGUGCUGGUAUCAUCAGAUUUAAUUUUGAAGUAAUGUGAAGUGCUUCUGACCCACUGCAUUAAACAUAUGCUGAGCAGUUGGUGGUAACAGAAGACAGUACUGUGAAGGCUGAUCACCACCAAUUUCAUCACUGUUGCUAACUCCACUUCAUCUAAUCUCUGCAACAUCUGUUGCCAGCACCUAUUCUUUCCUCCUUUUAUGAACUUAGGUUUUUCUUCUGGUUAGAAAAUCAGUUCAAACGUCUUGAGUAUACUUGAUGUUUUAAACUCUUCUCAACUGUUAACAUGAUUGAUGGAUGCCCAGAGGCUACCUCUUUAUCUCCAGCAAUAUAUUUGGCUAUUGGCCAGGUAGAGAAGUACUCCAGAAGCUUGCUGGUUCAUCAUGUGCUCAUUUUUAGCCACAACUAUUUAUCUGGCUCCUUCUAUCUCCACAGCACUGUGUGAGGGAUCCAUGACAAGAGAUGGUAAAACAGAUGUGCAAACAGAUAAUAACCAGGAUAUGCAGACUGAUAAAACUACUAGUGAAUAAUUUAAGAGAUCCAACAACUAUAAGAAAAAAAAGAUUGGGAACAACUUCAUGGAAAGAGUCAUCAACUAAGGCUUAAAACAUAAAAUUGACUAUUUAAAUAGAGAAGGCAGGCAAUCCGGUAAAAUAAGUGCGUAAGAGGUAGAAGACUACAUUGUUUGAAGACAUGUUGAGCCAGAAGAGCAAUAGCAUUGUGACAAAAAAGUUCACUGUAGAUUGCAGAAGAUCUUAAAUCACAAAUCAAGGGGUAGAGACUUGCUUUUACUCUCAUAUACUAAAUAGUCCUUUCAGGUAUAUAGUGCCCAAUGUAAGAGAGAAGGAUAAAGACUUUUUUAAACCCAAGUACUUAGUUGUAGGCCUUGGAAAAAAAGUUUUCAGGUAACAAGAUAACAUGAAUAAUUUUCUGUGGUUAUAAGCUCAAAGUAGUGUAUUUAAUUCAGUUGUCCCAGAACCACCAAAACCUUGGAACCAUUGUUUAACUAAAUCUACUAGAACAACAGAAUAAUCUAUUUCAUGGUACUGUAAAGUAAAACUAUACUGUAUGCAAAUACUUGACAUAAAAUCCAUUUCCAAACUCAAUUAUUAGGAAUAACAUAAGCAUAAAAUGAUGCUUUGCAAACAUCAUGUAACCUAUCAUUCGAGUCAAAAAAAUCAAUAAAAUGACAUCACUGAGUUCUGAAACUACAUCUCAAUUUAAACCUAAGCAAGUUAAUAUACAGCAUUCUUCAAAAUCAAUUGUUGAAGGUUAACUAUAAUCUACAUACAAAACAACGUUGUCACCUUUUUAUGGAUUUUCCUUCUAAACAUAUUUACUGCAUAAAAUUAAAAAUUUUCCUGAGUUAAAGGGUAAGACUUGACUUUACGAAUACAUGACCCAAAUUUGAUGGUGGCUCGUUUCUGUUUUUAUUUUUACUUCUUAAGCUUAGUAUAAUGGUUGUCCAGAACUUAUAAGCAACGACCUCAUUUCUAAGUGGACAAGGUGCAAAAGACCAUUUUUUACAGAUUAACCACCUGAUUCCUUUUGGGAGACUAAUAUUUCAACAGGUUCCUGUAUUUCAAGAAUAUAAAUGAUGAAAAAGAUAUGUGAAAUACACAAAUAAAAAAAUAGAGAAAAUAAUAUUUCAAGCAAAUUAUCCUAGCUCCCUCAAUUAACCUUUUAAAACCAUGACAAUCCAUUAUUAAUAUAAAUUAUUAAUUUUAUUAAAUACAACACAAAUAUAAUUCAUACCAUCAUAUGCAACUAGGUGGUCCAUCAUUUUGGACUUUCUUUCUACCUCUGGAGAAUUGCUCAGGAAAUCUGGCUACCAUACCAAAUAAACCAAAUGGAUUUAA